rnacentral:rRNA from 1 species
UGUUCCGCCAGGAGCACCGCUGGGUAGCUAUGUACGGAAGGGAUAAGCGCUGAAAGCAUCUAAGCGUGAAGCCCCCCUCAAGAUGAGAUUUCCCAAUUCGUAAGACCCCUUGAAGACGACGAGGUAGAUAGGUUGGGGGUGGAAGUGCAGUAAUGCAUGGAGCUGACCAAUACUAAUCGGUCGAGGGCUUAUCCUA